GAUCCGCCACACUGGGACUGAGACACGGCCCAGACUCCUACGGGAGGCAGCAGUGGGGAAUAUUGGACAAUGGGCGAAAGCCUGAUCCAGCCAUGCCGCGUGUGUGAAGAAGGCCUUUUGGUUGUAAAGCACUUUAAGCGAGGAGGAGGCUACUGAGAUUAAUACUCUAGGAUAGUGGACGUUACUCGCAGAAUAAGCACCGGCUAACUCUGUGCCAGCAGCCGCGGUAAUACAGAGGGUGCGAGCGUUAAUCGGAUUUACUGGGCGUAAAGCGUGCGUAGGCGGCUUUUUAAGUCGGAUGUGAAAUCCCUGAGCUUAACUUAGGAAUUGCAUUCGAUACUGGGAAGCUAGAGUAUGGGAGAGGAUGGUAGAAUUCCAGGUGUAGCGGUGAAAUGCGUAGAGAUCUGGAGGAAUACCGAUGGCGAAGGCAGCCAUCUGGCCUAAUACUGACGCUGAGGUACGAAAGCAUGGGGAGCAAACAGGAUUAGAUACCCUGGUAGUCCAUGCCGUAAACGAUGUCUACUAGCCGUUGGGGCCUUUGAGGCUU
rnacentral:rRNA from 1 species